rnacentral:rRNA from 1 species
GAGGAAUAAGCAUCGGCUAACUCCGUGCCAGCAGCCGCGGUAAUACGGGGGAUGCAAGCGUUAUCCGGAAUCAUUGGGCGUAAAGCGCCUGUAGGUUGUUUAAUAAGUCUGUUGUUAAAGACUAGGGCUUAACCCUAGAAAAGCAAUGGAAACUACUAGACUAGAGUAUGGCAGGGGUAGAGGGAAUUUCUAGUGUAGCGGUGAAAUGCGUAGAUAUUAGAAAGAACACCGGCGGCGAAAGCGCUCUACUGGACCAUUACUGACACUCAGAGGCGAAAGCUAGGGUAGCAAAAGGGAUUAGAUACCCCUGUAGUCCUAGCCGUAAACGAUGGAUACUACAUGUUGUGCAUUACGUACAGUAUGGUAGCUAACGCGUUAAGUAUCCCGCCUGGGGAGUACGCUCGCAAGGGUGAAACUCAAAGGAAUUGACGGGGGCCCGCACAAGCGGUGGAGCAUGUGGUUUAAUUCGAUGCAACGCGAAGAACCUUACCAGGACUUGACAUACUACAAAUUCUUUUGAGAAAGAGAAGUGCCUUCGGGAAUGUAGAUACAGGUGGUGCAUGGCUGUCGUCAGCUCGUGUCGUGAGAUGUUGGGUUAAGUCCCGCAACGAGCGCAACCCUUAUUUUUAGUUACCAAUUCGUUGGGUUCUCUAGAAAGACUGCCGGUGACAAACCGGAGGAAGGUGAGGAUGACGUCAAGUCAGCAUGCCCCUUAUGUCCUGGGCUACACACGUGCUACAAUGGUUAAGACAAAGAGUCGCGAGCUCGUGAGAGUCAGCUAAUCUCAUAAACUUAGCCCAAGUUCAGAUUGUAGGCUGCAACUCGCCUACGUGAAG